CCUACGGGAGUCAGCAGUAGGGAAUUUUCGGCAAUGGGGGGAACCCUGACCGAGCAACGCCGCGUGAACGAAGAAGUUAUUCGUAAUGUAAAGUUCUUUUAACAGGGAAGAAAGAGAAAUUUGACGGUACCUGAAGAAUAAGCUCCGGCUAACUACGUGCCAGCAGCCGCGGUAAUACGUAGGGAGCGAGCGUUAUCCGGAAUUAUUGGGCGUAAAGGGUGCGUAGAUGGCAUAGUAAGUCUUGUGGAAAAAUGCUGGCCUAAACCCAGUAGGGCAAAAGAUACUGCAAAGCUAGAGUAUGACAGAGGCAAGUGGAACUAAAUGUGUAGCGGUAAAAUGCGUAGAUAUAUGUAAGAACACCAGUGGCGAAGGCGGCUUGCUGGGUCGAUACUGACAUUGAGGCACGAAAGCGUGGGGAGCAAACAGGAUUAGAUACCCGAGUAGUC
rnacentral:rRNA from 1 species